rnacentral:rRNA from 1 species
UACGGGGGGAGCAAGCGGUGUUCGGAUUUACUGGGCGUAAAGGGCGCGUAGGCGGCCUCUGCAAGUCGACUGUGAAAUCUCCGGGCUUAACCCGGAAAGGUCAGCCGAUACUGCAGGGCUAGAGUGCAGAAGGGGCAACUGGAAUUCUCGGUGUAGCGGUGAAAUGCGUAGAUAUCGAGAGGAACACCGGUGGCGAAGGCGGCCUUCUGGACAGCAACUGACGCUGAGACGCGAAAGCGUGGGGAGCAAACAGG